rnacentral:rRNA from 1 species
GAUGAACGCUAGCGAUAGGCUUAACACAUGCAAGUCGAGGGGCAGCAUGGUCUUAGCUUGCUAAGGCUGAUGGCGACCGGCGCACGGGUGCGUAACGCGUAUGCAACUUGCCUCACAGAGGGGGAUAACCCGUCGAAAGACGGACUAAUACCGCGUACACUCUAUAUUGGGCAUCCAAUGUAGAGGAAAUGAAAUUCGCUGUGAGAUAGGCAUGCGUCCCAUUAGCUAGUUGGUGAGGUAACGGCUCACCAAGGCGACGAUGGGUAGGGGAACUGAGAGGUUGAACCCCCACACUGGUACUGAGACACGGACCAGACUCCUACGGGAGGCAGCAGUGAGGAAUAUUGGUCAAUGGGCGAGAGCCUGAACCAGCCAAGUCGCGUGAAGGAUGACUGUCUUAUGGAUUGUAAACUUCUUUUAUACGGGAAUAACAAGAGUCACGUGUGGCUCCCUGCAUGUACCGUAUGAAUAAGCAUCGGCUAACUCCGUG